AUUAGCAGAGCCUUAAAGUCAGUAAAAAAGACAGUCGGGGAGAACUCUCAGGAGCAUGCUAAUGAAGUGAAGUCAUCCGCGCACACCAGAGGAGAAUCCAUGCCUGCUCCACGCCGGAGGAUUCCCGGAGCCCGGCGCAGGUGGAGCGGGGACCCGCGGCUCGCCCGUGCCGACACCUUCGCUCCCCUCCCUUUGGAUAUUGCCACGCUUUCCCUGGGAUUUUUUUAUUUUUUUCCGCUUUACUGGAGCUUAAUGAUAUUUCCAGCUCGGCGGGAGCUGCGGGAAGACUGGAGAUAGUGCAGAGAGAGGCUUGGAAAGGCAGCUCCCGGCUCUGCGGGAAAGCACGGAGCCACCGCUCAGGGCCAGCCGGCAGCUCCCGAUUCCCGACUUUCGCCUUUUCCAGCGCUUUUUCCAGGAGAGCGCAGCCUUCCCCUCCCGCCGGCUUAUGAUGAGCCAAGAAAUUCAUUUUUCAUGGGAGGUGAAAGUGAGUCCCGGCAGUAGCUGAGCACGGAGGGUGCCAAGGUAGGGGCCAGUGGCAGCAGGGGCUCAGAUGUAUUUUUGGCAGCCAGAAUCCCUCCUCCCCAUCCCAAAUGGGCUCUGGGGAUGCCUCUGGCUGCAGGGACACUCAGGGACCUUCCCUGGCCCUGCAGCUGCUCAGGGGCAGGAGGGAGGGAGUUUAAAGGGGCUGGAGAAGUUCCCAAGGGAAGGGAUUUUUCCCAGCUCCAGACAGAGCCAUGCUGGGUCAGAUCAGUCUGUCUGGGUGGGAUUUCAGUCCUUCAGGCAG